ACGGAAGGCAGCAGUGGGGAAUAUUGCACAAUGGGGGAAACCCUGAUGCAGCGACGCCGCGUGAAGGAAGAAGUAUCUCGGUAUGUAAACUUCUAUCAGCAGGGAAGAUAAUGACGGUACCUGACUAAGAAGCCCCGGCUAACUACGUGCCAGCAGCCGCGGUAAUACGUAGGGGGCAAGCGUUAUCCGGAUUUACUGGGUGUAAAGGGAGCGUAGACGGAGAAGUAAGUCUGAUGUGAAAGGCAUGGGCUCAACCUGUGGACUGCAUUGGAAACUAUUUUUCUUGAGUGCCGGAGGGGUAAGCGGAAUUCCUAGUGUAGCGGUGAAAUGCGUAGAUAUUAGGAGGAACACCAGUGGCGAAGGCGGCUUACUGGACGGUAACUGACGUUGAGGCUCGAAAGCGUGGGGAGCAAACAGGAUUAGAUACCCUGGUA
rnacentral:rRNA from 1 species